AUUGAACGCUGGCGGCAUGCCUUACACAUGCAAGUCGAACGGCAGCGCGGGAGCAAUCCUGGCGGCGAGUGGCGAACGGGUGAGUAAUAUAUCGGAACGUGCCCAGUAGUGGGGGAUAGCCCGGCGAAAGCCGGAUUAAUACCGCAUGAGACCUGAGGGUGAAAGCGGGGGAUCGCAAGACCUCGCGCUAUUGGAGCGGCCGAUAUCAGAUUAGCUAGUUGGUGGGGUAAAGGCCUACCAAGGCAACGAUCUGUAGUUGGUCUGAGAGGACGACCAGCCACACUGGGACUGAGACACGGCCCAGACUCCUACGGGAGGCAGCAGUGGGGAAUAUUGGACAAUGGGGGAAACCCUGAUCCAGCAAUGCCGCGUGUGUGAAGAAGGCCUGCGGGUUGUAAAGCACUUUUGGCAGGGAAGAAAAGCACUGGCCGAAUACGCCAGUGUGUUGACGUAACCUGCAGAAGAAGCACCGGCUAACUCUGUGCC
rnacentral:rRNA from 1 species